rnacentral:miRNA from 1 species
AGAUUCCCAAUCUAUCUCUAG